AAAGCGAGUCUGAAUAGGGCGUUUAGUAUUUGGUCGUAGACCCGAAACCAGGUGAUCUACCCUUGGUCAGGUUGAAGUUCAGGUAACACUGAAUGGAGGACCGAACCGACUUACGUUGAAAAGUGAGCGGAUGAACUGAGGGUAGCGGAGAAAUUCCAAUCGAACCUGGAGAUAGCUGGUUCUCUCCGAAAUAGCUUUAGGGCUAGCCUCAAGUGAUGAUUAUUGGAGGUAGAGCACUGUUUGGACGAGGGGCCCCUCUCGGGUUACCGAAUUCAGACAAACUCCG
rnacentral:rRNA from 1 species